rnacentral:ncRNA from 1 species
UUUUUUUAAGCGCCAGAACUUAUAAAGUUUUAUAAAAAAGCUCUAUAAGUUGACGAGGAUGGGGAGUAUCGAAUCUUCGGCGGGUGCCCCACGGUAUCGCACUACCGUUAACGAUUGGUAAAAGCAGAGAGUGAUUUCUGUUACAAAACCAAU